rnacentral:lncRNA from 1 species
CCACUUCAAAUACAUUGUCUCGUGUAUUUGCAUAAUUUUUUGUAACUAAACUAUGUUUAUUCAAUUAAUUGAUUGCAAAUCCUUAUGUGUAAGUUGCUGUCCACUUUUCCAUUAAUUGAUUGCAAAUCCUUAGCUGUAAAUUAUUCAACUCAAACGGAAGCUUGAUAUUUGAUGUUCCAGUGCUUUUUUCGAAGCUUGAAUAAUAACCCUUUCGCAGUGCUUUUUCCUUGACUCUCCUUUUUUCUUUAACUAGCAACCACUUAGGCUUGAAAAACACAUGCUUCAGUAAGAAAUCGUGAAUCAAAUAUUCUCCAGCG